rnacentral:tRNA from 1 species
GGAGGUUAAAGUCCUCCCUAN